rnacentral:misc_RNA from 1 species
GAUGAAGAACGUAGCGAAAUGCGAUACGUAAUGUGAAUUGCAGAAUUCAGUGAAUCAUCGAAUCUUUGAACGCAUAUUGCGCUCUUUGGUAUUCCGAAGAGCAUGCUUGUUUGAGUAUCAGUAAACACCUCAACCUCUUCUUGAUUUUUCAAAAGGAGGGUGGACUUGAGCUAUCCCAACAACCUUUACCGGUCGGCGGGCGGCUUGAAAUGCAGGUGCAGCUGGACUUUUAUCUGAGCUAAAAGCAUAUCUAUUUAGUCCUCGUCAAACAGGAUUAUUACUUUUGCUGCAGCUAACAUAAAGGAUAAUUGUCCUCUUUGCUGACUGAUGCAGGAUUUUACGACACUUUAUGUGUUGUUCAACUCGAUCUCGAAUCAAGUAAGACUACCCGCUGAACUUAAGCAUAUCAAUAAGCGGAGGA